AUGCACGCUGGCGGCGUGCCUAAUACAUGCAAGUCGAGCGAACAGACGAGGAGCUUGCUCCUCUGACGUUAGCGGCGGACGGGUGAGUAACACGUGGAUAACCUACCUAUAAGACUGGGAUAACUUCGGGAAACCGGAGCUAAUACCGGAUAAUAUAUUGAACCGCAUGGUUCAAUAGUGAAAGACGGUUUUGCUGUCACUUAUAGAUGGAUCCGCGCCGCAUUAGCUAGUUGGUAAGGUAACGGCUUACCAAGGCAACGAUGCGUAGCCGACCUGAGAGGGUGAUCGGCCACACUGGAACUGAGACACGGUCCAGACUCCUACGGGAGGCAGCAGUAGGGAAUCUUCCGCAAUGGGCGAAAGCCUGACGGAGCAACGCCGCGUGAGUGAUGAAGUUCUUCGGAUCGUAAAACUCUGUUAUUAGGGAAGAACAAAUGUGUAAGUAACUAUGCACGUCUUGACGGUACCUAAUCAGAAAGCCACGGCUAACUACGUG
rnacentral:rRNA from 1 species